UCCCGGCGGUCCAAGUCGCAUCCACAAUUAUUGGGUCUAAAACAUUCGUAGCUUGUUUUGUAAGUCUCUUGUGAAAUCUCAAAUCUUAAAUUUGAGGCGUGCAAGAGAUACUGCAUUGCUUGAGACCGGAAGACGCAAAGAGUAUGACUAAGGUAGUGGUAAAAUACGUUAAUCUUGGUCAGACUAACAACGGCGAAGGCACUUUGCGAGUACGGAUCUGACAGUGAGGGAUGAAGGCUA
rnacentral:rRNA from 1 species